AAGAUAACAGUUAAGGUUUCUCAAAAGAACUAUCAAUUCUCAUCUCGUAUCUCAUCAAAUUUUGCCAAUCCGUACAGUUUUAGACCACCUUGUAUUUCAGCUUCUCCUACAGCCAGCGUUUCUGAUGCUAUAGCUCAUUCAAAAUCACGAAGCAAAGUUAAUGCUGAUCUGGGUAUUAAACAAAAUGCCGCUACGGGUGUGAAUUCAGGAUUAAUAAGAUUGUUGGUCAAACGCGGCCUCGUUUUGGGUGCAAUGGUGUGUGGGGUUUUGGUGUUCAGGUGCAAAAGAGUGUUUGCAGCUGAAGGUGUGGUGAAUGCUGGGU
rnacentral:misc_RNA from 1 species